rnacentral:lncRNA from 13 species
GUCUAUAGUCUGCAGUGCAGAGAGGGUGCUACAGACUGAAGUGUGUCCCCCACAUUUAUACCCUGAAGCCCUAGCUCACAAUGUAGCUCUAUUUGGAGAUGGGGCCUAUGAGGAGAUAAAGGUUAAAUGAGGUCAUAAAAGUGGGCCCUGAUCUCAUAGGGUUGGUGCCUUUAUAAGAAGAAAUACCAAGCCUGGGCAACAUAGUGAGUUCCUGUCUCUACAGAAAAUAACAAAAUUACAGAAUGUGGUGGCACAUGCCUGCAGUCCUAACUACUCAAGACACUGAGGUGGGAAGAUUGCUGGAGUCCUAGAGUUUGAGGAUAAGUGAGCUAUGAUCGCACCACUAUACUCCAGCCUGAGCAAUAGACCUGAGAAGACUAAGAAGAAUCGCCCAGGCAUGGUCUGAUGAUCUUACUGCAUUGAAGAGAUGGGGGUCUGAGGAACUGAAGGCUACUGGAGUUCUCAGGGCCAACCGCCAGAGCAGAGACUGCUGCAGAGAGAGCAAUCCCUGGAAAUCUCCAGAGGGUCCUUCUCAUCAUGUCUUCAGUGGAGUCUCACUCUGUUGACCAGACUGGAGAACAGUGGCAUGAUCUCGGUUCACUUCAACCUCCACUUCCUGGGUUCAAAUGAGUUUCUCACAUUAGCCCCCUG